GCGGACGUGGUGCACGGUGCGCUCCUUCAUUUCAUAUGAUCGUCUCGAAGUUCAAGAGGCUGUCGGGGUUCGACUCCCCGCGUCCGCA